rnacentral:rRNA from 1 species
UACGUAGGGCGCAAGCGUUGUCCGGAAUUACUGGGCGUAAAGCGCACGUAGGCGGAUCGAUCAGUCAGGGGUGAAAUCCCAGGGCUCAACCCUGGAACUGCCUUUGAUACUGUCGAUCUGGAGUAUGGAAGAGGUGAGUGGAAUUCCGAGUGUAGAGGUGAAAUUCGUAGAUAUUCGGAGGAACACCAGUGGCGAAGGCGGCUCACUGGUCCAUUACUGACGCUGAGGUGCGAAAGCGUGGGGAGCAAACAGG